rnacentral:rRNA from 1 species
UACGUAGGCAGCGAGCGUUGUUCGGAGUUACUGGGCGUAAAGGGUGCGUAGGCGGUCGUUAAGUUUGGUGUGAAAUCUCCCGGCUCAACUGGGAGGGUGCGCCGAAUACUGAAUGACUAGAGUGCGGGAGAGGAUAGUGGAAUUCCUGGUGUAGCGGUGAAAUGCGUAGAUAUCAGGAGGAACACCGGUGGUGUAGACGGCUAUCUGGACCGUAACUGACGCUGAGGCACGAAAGCGUGGGUAGCAAACAGG